rnacentral:rRNA from 1 species
CCCUUAGACGUUCUGGGCCGCACGCGCGCUACACUGACCGGUGCAACAAGCAUCCGUCCUUGGCCGACAGGCCCGGGCAAUCUUUGAACGCCGGUCGUGAUGGGGAUAGACUUUUGCAAUUUUUGGUCUUCAACGAGGAAUUCCUAGUAAACGCAAGUCAUCAACUUGCAUUGAUUACGUCCCUGCCCUUUGUACACACCGCCCGUCGCACCUACCGAUUGAAUGGUCCGGUGAAGCCUCCGGAUUGGCGCGCACCUCGGUGUCGCCGAGAAGUUGGCUAAACCUUACCAUUUAGAGGAAGGUGAAGUCGUAACA